rnacentral:lncRNA from 1 species
CUUGGUCAGCACAAGAGACAUCAAAACAUAAAACCAACGUACUGACUCUAAACGUUUGAACAGUAGUAUAUUUACCAGUAAAUUUAUGAUUUUAUUAAUAUUGUCUUAUCGUAAAUGUAACAUCAGGUGACAUGUUAACAAGCUGCUGUCUUUCCACCGUUGAAUGCUGAAUGUGAUAUUAGAUGAGCGAUUUUAUAUAGAGAGAGAGAGAGAAAGAGAGAGAGAGAGAGAAGAGAGAGAGAGAGAGAGUUAAGGAAAUAUGCAAUUGUCCUAUUGCAAGUUUGCCUUUUCCUUAUAUGUUGUGCCUUUGUGUUGUAACCGAAUGUUAUCGUAAUUGUUUAUAUUAAGAAAGUGGUUUAAGAAAGUCACCACACAUGUUAUUGUACUUGUCUUAAGCAUUUAUUGAGAAAAUGUUUAUAGCAUAUAUUAGCAAAAGUGUAGCUAGAAAUGAAACAUGUAUUAGUAAGAGCUUUGCUAAAGAAAUAUGAAUAAAAUAGGAUGUUACCAUAGAAUGCUGUGUUGCGGACGCAGCGCAGUAGGCAUCAAAGAAGAAAGACCCACAGGAGAAAUAUGUGAGAAUGGAAGGCUUCUUAUAAGAAGUUUCUUAGGGAAUUUCCAGACCUCAUGAUGUCACAAGACAUUGGAAUCCACCUGCUGUCUAUAAGGGACUGAAAUGCAAUGAGGAAAUCAGAUGCUGGUUCUGUUUAACAGCUUCGGUGCCGGCAGCCUUGCCAUUAAUUCCUCUGAACAACCGUGCUUACAAAUUAAAUGCUUUCGUUUUUAUUUCUGUUUUUAUAUUAGUGUUUUGUUUGUAAAGUAUUUAACUUAUAUAAAAUAAAACAAAUUAUAACUAAGAAGCUCGCCUGCCAAAACAUUGAUUUCUAGAAUUGAGCAGAACAGACCACGGAGAAGUCUUUGUGACCUGUUUUAGAGACUUGAGAGUUAUGUGUCUGCUUCCUUCUCAACUGGAAGCUAUGAAAGUCAGCAAGGUCGGAAAUCAGAACGCAGAAGAGCUUCCUCUAGUUUUUGGGUUUUCAGAGCAGGGCUGAAAGAUGGGCCAGCAGACGCAGAUGAUCAUUCAGUGAAAUGUUGGACUCCCAGUGUUGCUGUGGAGAGCUCUGUGGACGCCCAGUAUGUCACGAAGAGGAACAAGAAGACUGAGAUGAUGCAAUGUGAGAUUCUCUUCUGGAUAUCCAAAGGUCAAACUAUAAAAAAUGAGGUGUUCGCUGAACUUGAAAAAUGAAGGCAACAGUUGGCAAGACUUUGUGGAGUUGAAUUCAUCUUAUUUAAGUACAUUUCUUGACAAAAGGUGAACUUGAAAGUUGCAUUACCUUAUGGGAGUUUUAUGCAAAUGUCUCUUUUUAUUUAUAUGGUUGUUGAAUAUUAUGAAACCUCUCACUGAACACACACACUACAGUUCAAAUGUUUAGGGUCAGCAUAAGAUUGUUAUAAAGUAGUCUCUUAGCUGCAUUUAUUUGAUAAAAUACUCUUACAACAAAGCUGAAUUUUCAGCAUCAUUACUCUAGUCUUCAGUGUCACAUGAUCCUUUUCUGGUCAAGAAACAUAUUAUCAUUGUUGAAAGUAGUUGUGCUGCUUAAUAUUUUUGUGGAAACUGAAAUAUGAU